GGCGAGAUAGUUCAACUGGUUAGAGCGCCUGGUUCAUACCCAGGAUGUUGGGGGUUCAACUCCCUCUCUCGCUACCA
rnacentral:tRNA from 1 species